UACGGGGGGAGCAAGCGUUGUUCGGAUUUACUGGGCGUAAAGGGCGCGUAGGCGGUCAUGACAAGUCACUUGUGAAAUCUCCGGGCUUAACUCGGAACGGUCAAGUGAUACUGUCGGACUAGAGUACAGAAGGGGCAACUGGAAUUCUCGGUGUAGCGGUGAAAUGCGCAGAUAUCGGGAAGAACACCAGUGGCGAAGGCGACUUACUGGACACAUAUUGACGCUGAGGUGCGAAAGCGUGGGGAGCAAACAGG
rnacentral:rRNA from 1 species